GCAAGGGCAAGAAGGAAGUCGUCCCUUUUUCUCUUCUUCCUGCUCUGCUCUGAAGCUGCCAUGUGAUCCCGGCGAGAGAAGACGCCAGCAGCUAGCGUCCGAUAAGAUAAUUCUUUAUGGUUGAUACUUAAGACUGAGCUAGCAAGUAAGAAAUCCUACUCAGUUGGCCAAGCAGCAUUUGUACCUAAUGGCCUCCUGGGAUGGUGUCCUGCUGGGCACAGGGCUGUUUCCAGUUGGUGGUAAGAAAGGAUCUCAGAGCUUUAUCUGUGUUCCAACUGCUGUCCCUAUCUGCUACUGACCCAAGGAGAGCCAUCCAUUCACCCAGCAGUCCAGCCACCAGUGCCCUAUGCUGAUGGUAAGAGCAGGGAGCACUAGAAAUGAAUGCGAGCAGAAUGCAACUGGAGAUGGCUUUAAAUAAUGCAGAGCCAUUUUCUCUGUUGCACCCGGAGAGCUGAGGUCUACAUGCAAGGGAGAAGAAGCAUGGUCCUCAGGCAGUGGAUCUGCUAGUGCUCUGGUGAGACACAUGAAUCCCCUCUAAUGCUAUGGAUGACAGCCAUGAUGGGAUGUGGCAAUUGACAACAUCCCAGAGUAGGCAUCUGGGUGAUGAAGCUUAAGGUCAUCUGAAGAAUCCUGGCCCUCUUGCCUCUAGUCACGGUGGCUGGAGGGAGUAGCUAUUAGCUCCGCAGUCUGUGUAUACCCAGCUGUAUCAAGCACUACUCUGAUCCAGGACUUCGCAAAGUCAACAGGUCUACUGGACAACAUGAACAACACCCUCCAUUCCAACUUUCACAUCUGAAAGAGGUGGAAAGGAACUGAGGGCUGAGCAGCCGGAACCCGCCUCUGUAUGUUUGCCAUCAGGGUCUGAGGCAGAGUUCUGUGGAGGAGCUCUGUAUUCCCUUUCUGCCCCACUCUCCUCCAAUGCCUCACUGGGUCAAGCCAAGGAAUUUUAGGUGGGAGAGCCACACAGCACAGGUAUCUGCAGAAAGGUAGGGGCUGGUCCAGGUAUCUCUUUCUAGAACUCCACCCAGAGAGCUACUCUCAGACAAGACUCCAUGUGGAUGGCACAGAAGGUCCUGGGUGGGCCAGGAUUCCCAAAAAGACAGAGCGAGGUGCCAACAAGACUCAGACCUCAGCACAACAGUCAUUUGGUUGUCAGAAAUUAAAAGAAAAAUACAAUCCAGUGGCCCUAUUUCUUUAAGGCAAUGUCUUGCUGUGACAGUUAGGCUAGCCCUGAACUUGAAAUCCUCCUGUAUUCCAGGAUGACCACAUCUGUUUUCCACAGCCCUUAAAGAUUCUACUGAAGAAAGAAUAGGGCCAAGAGCAUUAGAGGCAGAAUGGAUAGGAGAGAGGGGUAAAGGCUGAAUAAUAGAUACCAAAUUACACUUAGAUUGUAGGGAAGAGGUCUAGUUUCUAUGGCAUGGCAGGGUGAGGACAGACAGGCCACAUCAACUUGCUACACAUUUAUAGGAAUAAACAGUGGGAAUAUAAAUGCUUCAAUGGAGAGGUGUGAUGAGUGCCAUGGAUGUGCUGAGGGCCUGGAUCCUGCAGUCACACUCUGCACUCCAUCCACGAGGAAAUAACUAUGAGUUGCUUUGGAAACUCUUCACUAAUGUUUCCAAGGCCACAUAGCAAAGGGAGACCAGUUAUUCAGGGAAAUCUAAUGACAAUGUGGAAGGAAGAACGAGAUGUCAGCAUUGCAGAUGGUAGAACCAAGAAGUUGGGAUAUAGUCUUGCCUCAAACCUUGAUCUAGAAGAUAGGGUCUCUUUUCCCCAUGAAGCCUCACAUGAGGCUGUCAUUUAACAGGCCACAAGAUAACAGGACAAGAAUACUGAGGCCUGAUUGUCCUGUUCUCAUUUGUCAGUAGGGUAGAGCUCCCAACAGCAAGGGCAAGCGAGAUCUGACGGCACUAUCCCUUUCUGUACCUGCAGGGCAUCCAGAAUGUGGGAGCAGCUACAGAGAGCCCAUCAGAGGACCCUGGAAGGUUCAGGGACUUAUGCACAACCUCUGACCAAAUGCAAGCUAAACAAAAUUGCUCUGUCCCAGAGUAAACCUAGGGCAACUCAAGGAAGCCAGGUGCAAAGAGUCACUCUUGGUUGCCUGGGAACACCUUUUCAUGAAGGACAACCAGGAGCUGUUAAUCCUGGCAGAAGACAGGGAAUGACCACAAACUCACACACCACGUAGGCAGGAUCUAGGCUAUACUCAAGGGCCCUGUGUUAAAUAGAAAAUGGAAUUGGCUGAGAGUGUAUGCUAUUUGGAGCUGGCAGUAGUCCUGCAAUCCUAGCUACUCAGUGGGCAACUUAUUGGACAAUUUAGUGAGAUCAAUAAAAAGGAAGAAAAUGGGGUUGGGAAUAUAGCUUAGUGUCUGUGAGGUUCUAGGUUCAAUUCCCAGUGCUGAGAAGGAAGGGAAGGAGGGAAAGAGCAGAAAGACCAAGCUUGGCUUGGCUUGGCGUGGGUUACUUGGCACUUUUGGCCUCUGGCCCAUUUUAUCCUGCUAUGCAUCUUCUGAUGUAUGCAGUGCAUGUGAGAUCCAUUUAUUCCACUAGUUACUGAGCACUGUCUGGACACUGCACACUGUUCUAGGCUCUAGGGGUACAACACCGAACAAGAUAAACAGGAUCUUCACCUUGGCCUUCAUGUUCUGGUUAAGAGAAGCAGAUAUUAAACAAGAGAUAUACAUAUAUAUAAUAUAUAAGAUAUAUAGAUAUAUAAGUGAAAUCGAUGUCCAUUAUAUGCUGAUGUGUGGUAGCAAG
rnacentral:lncRNA from 1 species